GCUAGGCAUGGUGGUGCAUGCCUGUAGUCCCAGCUACUUGGGAGGCUGAGGUCGGAGAAUCACUUGAGCCCAGGAGGUCAAGGCUGCAGUGAGCUAUAAUUAUGCCACUGUACUCCAGCCUGGAUGACAAAGAGAAACCCUAUCUCAA
ensembl:misc_RNA Metazoa_SRP Metazoan signal recognition particle RNA